AGGAUCUUUGGUUGUUAGUACCGGGGCGGUAGGAAUUGGAACGGCUUCGAUAGAAGAGCGUUUACCUCACCGCGGAGACACGGUGGACCUGUUGUUAUUCCUACAUCCGAGAGCCUUGGGUUUUUUUAAAGAGGGAUUGAAUGACACACAUAAUGAAGGCUAGUGAAUACCACAAUUUAUGUUUGUGGCAGAUUAGAUGCUGGAUAAGGGCCCACAACAAAUCUGCUCCCUAGAGGUGAAAUUCAAAGACCCAGCCAGAUCUACAAAUGGUUCAGGCCAUAUCCAGUGGCUGAUUCUGCACCCUCUCAAGCAGCCUAGCAAACCAGUUUGCUUUGAAAAAUAUC